rnacentral:rRNA from 1 species
GUUGGUGUCUUUGACAGCGAGGGUCCACCCGUUCCCAUCCCGAACACGGAAGUUAAGCUCGUCUGUGCCCACAAUACUUGGCUGGAAGCGGCCCGGGAAGAUAGGUCGAUGCCAACA